CCCUCUAUUAUCCCAGUAACCCUUCAACAGUACUGAGUAGUCCUAUACACCUAUAGAAACUUUUAUGUUAAAACUAGUAACAAGAAGAAGACCUUCUCUUAAAUGCACCUAUAAAUCAGAAAGGACCCACCACUGAUAAUUAACGCCCAUGAUCCUGGAGUAAGAACUUAACUAGAAAACUCUACUAACCCCAACGUUAACCUAACACAAGAGCAUUUCAAGAAAGAUUAAAAGAAAAAGAAGGAACUCGGCAAAUAUUAAUCCCGCCUGUUUACCAAAAACAUCGCCUCUUGAAAAACAUAAGAGGUCCAGCCUGCCCAGUGACAUUGUUUAACGGCCGCGGUAUCCUAACCGUGCGAAGGUAGCGUAAUCACUUGUCCUUUAAAUGAGGACUAGUAUGAAUGGCAUCACGAGGAUUACUCUGUCUCCUUUCUCUAAUCAGUAAAACUAAUCUUCCCGUGAAGAAGCGGGGAUACACUUAUAAGACGAGAAGACCCUAUGGAGCUUUAAACAAAACAACAUUUGUUAACUUCCCCCCUCAAAUUUCAGAAAAACAAUUUUUAUCUUAACACUGUGUUUGUUAGUUUUAGGUUGGGGUGACCGCGGAGAAAAAAGUAACCUCCACAUUGAAAGGGGCUUUCCCCUAAACAAAAAGUCACAACUUUAUGUAUCAACAAAUUGACAUCAAUUGACCCAAUAUUUUGAUCAACGAAACAAGUUACCCUAGGGAUAACAGCGCAAUCCACUUCGAGAGCCCCUAUCGACAGGUGGGUUUACGACCUCGAUGUUGGAUCAGGGUAUCCUAGUGGUGCAAGCCGCUACUAAG
rnacentral:rRNA from 1 species